AAGUCGUAACAAGGUUUUGCUAAGCAACAGUCCUUCUGUAGCAGAGCUUAACGGAGACCUUGCACCCGAGAGGGGGGAGGCGACUAUAAACAAGUCCCAGUGCAAGUCAGCGCCGCUGGCGACACAAUCGAAUUGCGGGGACGCUUUAAAGCUCAGUGGUACCAACCCUCCGGAUGCCGGAGGGGGCGGGCAAUGCCCGAGGUCAGAACCCACCGAGAUGUACAAUAAGCAAUCCGCAGCGGCCCGUUUGGACCGUCCACAGACUAAGUGGUU
rnacentral:misc_RNA from 1 species